UACGUAGGGUGCAAGCGUUAAUCGGAAUUACUGGGCGUAAAGCGUGCGCAGGCGGUUUUGCAAGACAGAUGUGAAAGCCCCGGGCUCAACCUGGGAAUGGCCGUUGAAACUGGCGAACUGGAGUGUGGCAGAGGGGGGUGGAAUUCCGCGUGUAGCAGUGAAAUGCGUAGAGAUGCGGGAACACCGAUGGCGAAGGCAGCCCCCUGGGCUGACACUGACGCUCAGGCACGAAAGCGUGGGGAGCAAACAGG
rnacentral:rRNA from 1 species